UGGAGAAAAGGGAUCAAAUUUGCAAUUUCAUAGCAGUUUUGGGUAAUACUGAUGAUAUUACAGCGGAGGGAUAGGGGGUGUAAAGUGUCUUUCUGCAGAGCAAUCAUUGUGUCGGAAGUGAGAUUUUCACCCGUCAACUUCAAAUCCGUGUAGCCAAAAAUCUAAACGGUCAACCCCCUACAAAAUUAUGAUGAGGAGAUUGCCAAAUGUUGUCCCCAUUGUGCCUAUAAAGAUUGGAACCAACGGAAUGUUGAGCAAAAAGCUACAGCCUGUGAUGUUACAGUCAUUUAACAUUGAAGUCAAUGGGCAAAUAAUUGCUAGUCUGACUUCUGAUGAUAUAAAGAAGCAUGGCCGACUCGGGAUGUUGAUAUUUUUUCAACGGCUUAUUUCCUGAAGUUUUGAAUGGAAAGUGUCAGAAAUGGUAAGAAUACUGCUUUUUUAUUGCCCAGCAGUAAGUUUUUUGACUAUUUGGUAUCAAAAUAGCCAUGAUUGGGGGUAUCCGUUGGUUGAGUGUGAAUUUUGGGUUGUAAAUGUGUAACAUUUUGUUCACAAUGAUAUCAAGACAUGGUUAGGUCUAAAUAUUAAGGCCAACUCAACUCCAGAUUUGGUCUAAAGUCACGAGAUGUAAACAAGACUGACCCUAACCCAAGACCCAGUCCUUACCCUAACCCUAACCCACAAUCUUGUCAAAAAGCAUGUAGCCUAGGCCUAAGCCAAGACCUAGUUCUGACCCUAGCCCAAACCCACAAUUGUGUCAAAAAAUCAUGUGCCCUAACCCUAUUUACAUGUUGUGACCUUGAACCAAGUCUGCAGUUGGCCUUAACAUUUAGACCUAACAUGUUUUUGACAUCAUACAAUGAAAUGUUAACAUGUACACUCCAAAAUUCACACCUGUGUGACUUUUGACCAAACAUGCAGUUGGCCUUAAUAUUUAGACCGAACCUCAAAACAUGGCAUCUACCUUUGAGAUUGGCUUAGACUUAUGUGACACUCAAGGUGCCAGGGCAAUGUUUCAUAGAGUGGAAUGAUUGACCUCAACACAAGUAUUAAAAAAAAAAGAAGCAAAACAGGUCUACAUCUCAAAACCUGAUCUCUUCCUGGACUGGCUUUAGGAGAACGAUGAUGCAUAUCAAUUUCAUCCCUGAUCUCUAUGACACCUGUGGUGGAAGUGGAGGGCAAAUCGUAAUCAGUUUGGGUUCCAGCCCCGAGGACCUCUGUAAACUUUGCUUUUUGGUGAUGACUUAAUUUCCGAGCUUGAAAAGGACGCUUGUGUGUUUAUCAUGGCCUCUCAUAUUGGAAGAUAACAUUAAUGGCUUGUGUGUUGAUCGACGGUUGUGCAUAUCUCUGGGUCAGGAAAGUUGUAGGCACCAUCGCCAUUGUAAAUAAUUUGACAGGCCCGAGUGAACGGGGCGACCUAUGAUUGGUCAGCAAUGUAUCAGAUUCCAUACCGGGGGGUGGGGAUGAAAAAACUGUUGUAGUGUUACAUAAUCAGAUUAUUUCAACUUACUUAUCCUGUAGAAAUACAGCUAUAUAGGAGAUAUUUUGAAAUUCAUAGGCACUGCAUGUUUCAACAUUUUAGAUUUGACCACAAUCUGGCACUUGAAACUAUGUUAACAGAGAAAAACUGUGUGGUUUUCGAUGAAAGUGUUAAAAGUCUAAUAUUGCAUCAUGAUUACUGUUUUAAAGUAUUUUCGUGUUUGAUUUAUAUUGAAUUCAUCUCAUCUUUUUGAAGAAUGCAUUUAUGUUCAAAAAUAAAAAUGUUCUGUGGAAUUCAAAAUUCAUGUGCUUUUAAAUUAUCAGAUUCCAAACUGGGGGGUAGGGAUCAAAAAACUGUUGUAGUGUUACAUAAUCAGAUUAUUUCAACUUACGUAUCCUAUGGAAAUACAGCUAUAUAGGAGAUAUUUUAAAAUUGAUAGGCACUGCAUGUUUCAACAUUUUAGAUUUGACCACAAUUUGGCACUUGAAACUACGUUAACAGAGAAAAACUGUGUGGUUUUCGAUGAAAGUGUUAAAAAGUCUAAUAUUGCAUCAUGAUUACUGUUUUAAAGUAUUUUCGUGUUUGAUUUAUAUUGAAUUGUAUUUAGAAAACGGAGGAAACCGAAUGACCCAGCGAAAAAACUCAAGAGAUUGGACAGGCGACUCUACUCCUUGAAAUUGAAACCAUGCCACUUAACACAAUGACAGACCCUGUGAUUUCAUGCGCAUGCAUUACCUACUAGACCAUUCCCCCCAGCCCCACCCCAUAUCGAAUAAAAUUUCAAUAUUGGAUGUAUAUGCAAAUCACCCAGAAAAAGAUCAUGUAAUAACAAAAGAAAUUAUAAAAGAAAAAAAGGAAGAAGAAAUGGCUGGAAAAAAUGAUGAUAGAGUAGCUUUUUCUUGUUACCCACCUCGGAAGAUCAAGUUGGAAAGGGCUAUUGAUAUUGUGGAGACGUUUUCUCACAGAUCUUGCUUAUCAGACAAAGACUAUGCUGGAACACCAUUGAAAGAGUAUUUGCUGUAUGAUAACAACAAGAAAACCCAAGCAUCAAUUUAUUUUAUACUUCUGGGAAAGAAUGCAUUUGACCCAAUUUUUAAAUAUUUAUUUUUUGUUAUUAAUGUUAAAUUUUCUUCCAAAACACAAUUAGAUUUUAAUUCUCUUCAGAAAUGUAUGUAUAAUAUAGCAAGUAAAGUGGCAUAUAAAUCACUUAGAAUUUGGUCAGAAAUCAUAAAGUUAAAUACUUUAUGAUUUCUGACCAAAUUACUAGAAACCAAAUGUAGAUCAAAUACACCCAGAAUUACAAAAAACCUUGACCUACAUAAAGGUGACUUUCCCUUGCUUAUGAAAUGAAAUACGGUUUAGUAUCCUACUUUUCUGUGUUCUUAGAGUGAUUCUGCCCUACACCCUACUCUUAUAUCAAAUAUUUCAACUGUCAAGGGUUCUUUAACGGGAACCGGGGGGGGGGGGCAAUGAUUAACACGCACACAUUUGAUCAGGAAGUCUGUCAUUGAGUCAAAUAAUUCAAUUGUCAAGGCUUCUUCUAAGUGAACGCAGUGGGGAUGGUUUCGAUUCCGGGAAUGGGGGAGGGGGUGGUGGAUGGCCGAAUGGUAAGCAUGUGCGUGCGGUAUCAUACGGCCUGUCAUUGAGUCAACUGGCGUGGUUUCGAAUCCCCGGUUGUACGUGACAAGGAGUAGGGUCGCCUGUCCAAUCUUGUGGGUUUUCUACGGGACCUACGGUUUCCUCCCACUGCUAAAGACCCCUAUGCGCAACGAAUUAUUGAAAUAAAAUUAAACCAUAUGUUAAUCCCGAAAUGACCUAGUUUGUGUCAAGUGGACGUUAAACCCCAUUUCUCUCUCUCUCUCUUUCGAUUCCGGGCUUGUACCCAAUUAUCCCUUGCCAUAUCCAAGACUACUGACAAGUGGGAACUAUGCCGGAAAAUCCAGUUGAAAUUUCUCGGCCAACACCUUAUACUCACUGAACCACUGUGGCUUAUGACUUGUGAUUGUAUAUAAAUUUUUUGUACAUAUGAUAUUUUUUUAUUUCAAUCCUGUAAUCUUGAUGCUUUGCUUCUUUUAUUUACAAAAUAUUCAUUUUGUUUGGGUUUUUUUAAUGAGGAAAAGGUUUUACAUCAUUUUAUUACUCCUGCAAAAUAGUGCAUUUUUCUUUUGUUAGUUUUCUGUGUAUAUUAGUUAUUUCUAUAUGUCUCACAAAUCACUUGUAGUGUGAUUUUGUAGCACUUUUCAGUUUUUGAAAUUGUUUCAAUUUAGUGCAUAAUUAAUCUUAGUGCUUGGUUUGGAUGUUAUUAAAUUUAGAUAUUAUUUGAAUUAUAUAUUUUGGAGUAUGGGGUAGGGAUACUGUGUACAUAUCUUUAUAUUCUCAGUUCUUGUUUUGGGGUAAAGAACAAUUUAUAUAGCUAUUUUAUAUUUUGUGAUAGGUAAAGUGUGUGGGGUUAAGAACAAUUUAAAUAGCUAUGUUAUAUUUUGUGAUGGGUAAAGUGGGGUGUGUGUGUGUGUUUGUGUGAAAUUGCUUUA